rnacentral:rRNA from 1 species
CUGCAAGUCGUACGGUGUAGCAAUACACAGUGGCGAACGGGUGAGUAAUGAAUCGCUAAUGUACCCCGGACUCUGGGAUAGCUGCCCGAAAGGGCAGGUAAUACCAGAUGAUAUAUCCUUAUCGCAUGAUGAGGAUCUCAAAGGUCCGCCGGUCUGGGAGCAGGCGAUUUUGUAUCAGCUAGUUGGUGAGGUAACGGCUCACCAAGGCGAUGACGCAUAGCCGGACUGAGAGGUUGGCCGGCCACAUUGGGACUGAGACACUGCCCAGACUCCUACGGGGGGCUGCAGUAACGAAUCUUCCGCAAUGCACGAAAGUGUGACGGAGCGACGCCGCGUGUGGGACGAAGCCCUUCGGGGUGUAAACCACUGUCAGGGGAUAGAAAGUUCUGAUCAUCCCCAGAGGAAGGCACGGCUAACUCUGUGCCAGCAGCCGCGGUAAGACAGAGGUGCCAAGCGUUAGGCGGAAUCACUGGGCUUAAAGCGUGUGUAGGCGGGUUCGUAAGUACCUUGUGAAAUCCCACGGCUUAACCGUGGAACUGCUCGGUAUACUGCGAGUCUUGAGCCAACUAGGGGCUACUGGAACAAAUGGUGGAGCGGUGAAAUGCGUAGAUAUCAUUUGGAACGCCAAUGGUGAAAACAGGUAGCUGGGGUUGUGCUGACGCUGAGACACGAAAGCCAGGGGAGCAAACGGGAUUAGAUACCCCGGUAGUCCUGGCUGUAAACGAUGUCGACUAGAUCGCAGUGCCUCUGACGGUAUUGCGGUCGUAGCAAAAGUGCUAAGUCGACCGCCUGGGAAGUACGGUCGCAAGGCUAAAACUCAAAGGAACUGACGGGGGCUCACACAAGCGGUGGAGCAUGUGGUUUAAUUCGAAGCAACGCGCAGAACCUUACCUGGGCUUGACUAGCUAGGAUUAUCUCUAUGAAAGUAGAGUAGGCCCUUCGGGGUACAACUAGUACAGGUGCUGCAUGGCUGUCGUCAGCUCGUGUCGUGAGAUGUCGGGUUAGUCCCUUACGAGCGA